rnacentral:snoRNA from 1 species
CCAGUAGAGCUUGUCUCUAUGCCUGGAGUUUGGUAGU